GUCCCUCACUUAUUCGGAAUGGCGAAGUUCGGCACGCUCCUCAGGAUCGGGUCUUGGCAACGUCACCGCUUCCUGGUGCACGACGAGGUCGGAGGAAGUUUACGGUGCAUCAUUGUCACUGAUGGCGUUUAAGAUUCUGGUUAUUAUGGCGCGGUACGGUCGUGUUCACGCCAACUCGAUAUGUCGAAAUUGUAUUGUACGUAGGUUGUUUCGAGUGCAUGGAUUUUCACUUUCAAGUGUUUCAUCGGUUAUUGCAGUUCCUGGACUGUCGAAUUAGGACCACGCGUAGAAACUUUAUUUGGAGAAUAACAGCGGCAACUCUGGCUCAAAAGCCUCAGGCUAAUUAUUACGUGCUUGUUUCAGACCGAGAAAUAUUAAAUGAUCACUAGAGGACGUAAAGAAACACCAUCUAAUGUGGCAUCUUGUGUAUGACAGAAGAACCGAUUAAUGGGUUAACAGGUUCACUAGAAAGUACAUUUAUGUCGUUUGAAGUUCACGAUCUACAUCAGAUAUCGAAGAUUUGUGAAGAAUAAAAGGUACUUAAGACUUUUCAGCGUGCAAAUGUAUGCCAUAUAUACUCGUAUUAUGUCAGGUAAAGAGAAAAUUGUCCUGAAUUGUACAAAUUGUUAUUAAAUGCAUGCACGAUCAAUUAUUUAAUCCGUUUCACUUGUUAUUCCAUUUUGCCAUUAAAAAUGCCAUUAAAAUUAUCUCUGAGCCUAAAUAAAUCCUCUGUACUUAUUUUUUACUGUUACGUUAUCAGAUUCGGGAACAGAACAACAACAAGAAAAAUAUUUAUCAAGAUAGUAAAGAUAAUAUAAAGAUCCUAUAUAACGAAGCAUACAGAAAAACGUAUAAUCCUCAAAUGGAGGCAAAUUAAUAUAUAAGUGAAUGAAUUUCAUUUCCUAUUAAAAUUCCGCCGCGUCUCUCUACUUUACUGAAAAGGUAAAAACUAUCGCAAGUUUCGAGUGAUCCUAAUUCGAUGACCAUGGACUGUACACGACGAUGUGCUGUAUGAAUAGGGGGGCGUUUUCGCACACGCGUGCCUGAUGUUUCUUAGUCUCUCGUUCGUUUUCUGUCUCUCCGCUGCGCACCUUGACACAUAUAGAAAUUACGAAAUCGGAGGAGGAGCGCGGUUCGAACGGGAGCAACGGAGCUUUCGUGGCAUUAAAUUCCGAUCUACGCCGGUGACGGAUAUACGUAUUGCGCGUAAUUAGAGCGCGCUCCAUCGGUUUUUGCGAGAUCGUUGCACCAUCGAAAAGAUUCUGACGUUGUAGUGCAAGAGGUGGCGAGAAUCGAUGCUGUAUAGUACGACGGCUUGACUAUUGGUGUUCAUUAUCGGUGUUCGUUAGUAGUCGUAGAAUUUCUAGUUUGGCUUUUGGUUCGUUAGAACGCUGCCAAUCGAUUUUUACGAGAUCGUUACACCAUCGAGAAGAUUUUGAUGUCGGAGCGCAACAAGCGAACUAUCGACGCUGUAUACUAUGGCUUGACCAUCCAUGUUUAUUAUUAUCGUUACGUUCAUUGGUAUUCGUAGAGCUUUCAAGUUAAUUUUGGUUAAUUAGAACGCGGUAGUUUCUGCGAGAUCGUUGUACGCAGGCACAAGCUAAAUUUCAAAGAUGCUCUAAAACGUGUCAUUGACCUCCCACGUUGUCAAAACAUCGUGUGGAUAUGUUUCUACUUAGGGGUAAACAUACUCGUUAAAAAACUCGAACCACUAAUGAACGAUACGAGUAUUCAGGGAAUCGUAAAACUAUCAAAGAAAUAAUUGGCAAAAUAGAUAAGCAAUACAAAUUUUACCAUCACCUUGAAGAAUAUCAUCUAUUGAGAAGUUCGAAGCAAUCGAUGGUCGUGUGAAAAUCCAAUGUACUAUCGAUAGUAUAAUAUACUUAUCGGUAUGUCAAACAACAUUGACACAAUUUCUUCUAUAUCUCCUAACGAAAACAAGUUGAUAUAUAGCGUAGAAAAUACUUGCGCUUUUACAACAAUAAUAAUUUACUCGUCUAGCAAUGAAUUUAUUUAUUUCUGGUUUCGUCAUUUUGUUUACGAUGAAUGAAUAAAUAUUAAAAAUAGAACGCAGUGAUUUGUACCGCGUAGAAGAUGAAUUAGCGUGUCUUUGCUGGCAGAAUAUCACGAUAAAAUUGCUUUUUAAGGGCUAACACGUGACUUAAAAAAUUCAUAUUUACAUUUAUCGAACCAUGUGGGUCUAUUUUUUUCUUUUGUUUGAAAGUACUUUAUCUUCGGGUUGUUUGAUUCAUAAAUUAUGAGUCAGACAGGAAAGGUUGUUCUAAUCUGACAGAAAAAAUAUUGGCAUAUUCAAGCAGCGAUAUCUAAAUCUGGUGAAUACAUCCACACGUCGUAUAUUAUUCCUAAUGCUACUAAUCGUAACUUGCAUAUCAUUGAAAAUAUCUUUCUGAUCACAGAUGAUUCUCGUAAUGUAAUGACCAGAUGCCGGACACCGUCGUAUGAAACAGUUCACCAAUUGCUCAUCAGCUAGAUACUUCUUCCAUAAGCAAACAAAAAUCAGGUAUACUGUGUAUCUAAAAAAUCGUCAUACGACAUCAAAGAACGACUUUAUGGAAAGUAUUUGAUCAUUGUAUAUCAACUGAUUAUUAAUAGAGACUGCGGCUCCUUAUACAACUGUCUUUUUAAACGCACGUAAGGAAAUGGAAUCUAGAGGAAAAAUUUCUUCCGUUUCUAGAUAUCGUAACAAGUAUUCUACUCCCGAUUUUUUUUUAUAUAAUUGUGCAUUCUCUGUAUUUUAAUAUUCACCGAUUCAUUGUUAUCGAUUAUUAAUCAAAAACCUUCCGCGUCGAUAAAUCAAGAAACAGGCAUAACGCGUUUUUCAAAUUCUCGUUAAAAUGUGAAUUGCACGUUAAUCAAAAGGCUUCUUUCAUAGUCGAAGUACACUAUUCGUCAAAAAAUCGUCGAAUUCUAAAUUCUAAACAUCGGACCGGCGAAGUACGUUGGUCAGUAGAAGAGUUCACGAACUAUUAAUAAAGUGUGGGCCUUUUGUCUUCAAGGUCGCGGAUUCGAUGAUAUCGAUGUCGCGGGUUUCCUACAAAAUAGUGGUAUAAAUACGCGUCGCGUUAGAAAAUAACGGCGCAGUUCAUGCUCGAUUCUCGCCCACGAGUUCGCGUUUCAUGCGGAACUUUCCUGGCAUCAACGGAAACCGUUUCUGCCUGCGUGCAUCAUCGGCCGUUUCCGGGAAAGAGGAAAAUAAAAAAACGAUGAUUUAGAGCCAACGUGGUGGAAUUAGCGCGAAAACAUCGUGUAAACGUUGGUUUAACGACAAAGAAGCGCAACGUUUAUGACAGCAUUCAAUACAUGAACAAUAUGUCUCUGUCUCGUUCAGUGACUGUUGUUUGAUAAAUUUUCACAUCCAAUUUUAAAAACAUCUAUCCGCCAUAGAAUCACUGCUAGCAAAUAUAUAUUUAGUGAGUGAAAUGUUUUGAACAAAUUCCACAUCAUAGACACGACUGUGUUACAACGAAGAAGAGAACUUACAAACGAUUCUGUAACGUACAUUCUGAGAAUGAGAAUAUUUUUCUGACAAGAUUUCUACUCCUCUUUGAGCGUCCAUGGCCGAAUCUCGAGCUUCCAUGUUUAUCUGCUUGAUAACAAGGUUGAUAAGAAACUUGUUUUUCCAUUGAGAAAUAUAUUUGAUUUCGCGUGAUUAAAAAUUGAUAUUGAAUAAGUAUAGCGUACAGUUGUUCGACUGAUCUUGCUAAAUUUUGUACCACUUGUUCGACACAAUCGAUUAUGCGUCCUUUGUGUCCUAUACAGUUGUAUAUCGAAUCAACGACGUGACGUUCAUGGCCCUAUACUACUUGUCUGACAGAGCCACUGACGCACAACGACCUAUACUACUUAUUCGAUACAAACGAUGACGCACUAUAUGCGUCCUAUGAAACUUAGCGAUCACAGGACAUAAUGUUUAUGGCCCUAUACUACUUGUCUGAUACAGCCACUGACGUACAACGUGCAAGCUAUACUACUUAUUCGAUACAAACGAUGACGCAUCCUAUGCGUCUUAUGAAAUUUAGUAAUCACGGGACACAAUGUUUAUGGCCCUGUGUUACUUGUCUGAUACAGCCACUGACGCACAGUGUGCGACCUAUAUACUUGUUCGAUACGAACGAUGACACACUCUAUGCGUUCUAUAAAACUUGUAUAAUCGUAAGACGCACUGUUUACGAUUCUAUACUAUUUGUUCGACAAGACUACUGACGCACAGCGUGCGACCUAUGCUUCUUAAACGACACAAACAGUGCAUAGUUAUUAAUCGUGCCAAUGAGAGAAAAUAAAUUUGAACAACAAAUGGAUACAAGUGAAGCUCCGAAGUGAACGAAUUAUUGCGACACAAAUUCUCUUUCUAUAUAUGUACUCUGGACAGAAUUCCAAUCUAAAAAUUGGUAAUUCUGUUUUAUAUUUUAAAUACCAUCUUCGUGACAGGCAUACGAUGUAAAUUACAAUUACAAAUACCCUGAAAUUAAACAAACCUGUAACCAAAACUAUCAUAUAACGAUCACUUGUGAACGAAAAAGAGUUAUCCAAUGAAUUUGGGAUCAAAUCCCUAAAGCAACUAGGAAGUGGAAAGAACAAAGGCCGCGAAGAAAGAAGAUGAACCGACCAUACCACUGCGAUCUCCAACUGUAUUUCUCCGCUCGACGUUCGCACGCGUGUUUAUCGUGGUCGUGCGUACGAGCCUGCCAAAUAUAACCAAGAAGCGUGAAACGCGUGCGCCACGAUCGCCUCGUAAGAGCAGAGGCGAGCUAGAAAGCUCGCGGCGGGCUAGUCGUCAACCGGCUCGUUUAAAUGUUAACGCGAGUGGCUGGUUAACUAGCGCUUUACUCGCUUGCUCUCUGGCUGUUUCAUUGGCCCGUUCCAUGUCACCGUUGCUGCUGUCGCGCUAUGGCAGAGGGCCAACCGAAACAAGUACACGCGUAGGCGAAUCGCGUGUUAGGCUAAGUUCUGGCUUAGAGAUACCGAUAAUGGAGACACGCAGGAAGAGCGAGCUGUAUACGUGGGGGAUGAUUCGCCAGAUCUAUGUUCGAGCGAAUGCGAUGUGAAAAAUUCGCGAGAAGAUAAUGUACUAACCGCAAAACUCAAGGCGUGUGUAGGUAUACACCAUGUGUACACAUCCUAUGUUCAUAUAUCUAUAUUCAUUAUAUCGUGUAUUGCAUUGUGUGCGUGUGUGACCACGUGUAGAAUUUUGUUAACCAUUCACGAACAGAAACCUUGUGUGACGCACAUCUGUAAAUAAAAGUCUGUAGAUGCCUCGUAGAAUUUUAUGAACAGUCUGUAAACAUUCAGAAACUUGAUGCGAUGUACAUCUGCGGAAAAAAAUUUCUAUGCGUCUCUUCAUAGGAUUUUAUGAAUAGUCUGCGGAUAUAUAGAAAUUUAUAUUCACGUUUUGUAGAAUUGGUGUAUUUAAAUGAAAAGAUAAACAUAUAUUCACAAUUAUAACGUUAUAUACUUUAUACAAAAUUCACAUAUCUGUAAAUGUUUGUAUUGGCAUUGUUUACAGAUAUGCGUUCGUGCAUAAGGAUUCUGGUAUCUACAGGCAGCCUGCAUGAAUUUCUAAAAGAUGCACACGAAAUAUGUUAUAGUAUGCGGCACACGAUAUAAUAGUUCACACGCAAUACUAUUGUAUUUGCAAGUCUGUACACAUCUUGGUAACUGAACUUUCCACCCCUUGCGUGUACGACAUUAAAAAAAAGAAAAAUUAGUAAAGCCUUCGUUAAACAUACAUAUAUAUGUUCUUCAUCUUUAAACACCUAGAUUCAACGAAUAUAUGAAACAGAUAUCCUUGAACCACCAAGUGUCCAAACCAUUAAUCUUUGAAUGAAAAGAAUAUUUUACCACCCAAAAAUAAAGAAUAUUUAAAGUAUACUUGUCGGUAUAAACAAUCUCUAAAAUAUAAAUACAUACAAUAAAGAUCCUCGAAUUAUAUUAAUUGUAUUAACUAUAUUUUCAAGCUAUCAAUUAUCUUUUUAAUCGAAAGAGUACCACAAUUCCUGCCAGUGAGCGUGAUACUAUAGGGAAUGGGUGUUAGGGUAAAUAACGACCACGAGGGAUGGUCGAUAAUAAUCGAGACCGAUUUCUCUCAACAUCUAUCCGAGUUUUGUCCCCGUAAUAUUCUACGAUAUUAUCAGACGCGUGGAAAUGUGAUCUCAAAUAGUAUAUAACAAAAUGAAAUCUAAAGAUACAUCGGGCAGAAUAUAACGACGUCCGCGUCGGCGUCAUUC